UCCAAGGCGCCCUCGGGCCUCGCGGGCUCAGGGCCCACGCAGUUCUCUCUGGUGGCGCCGGGGGGCGAUGUGGAGCGUCCCACAGCGCACCUACGCCCCGGAGGCUCAUGGGCGUUGUAGUUCCCAGGGCGGCGAGCUGUGCUGGCACUUAGCGUGGGAGGGUGAGGCCAGGUCUGGAGGCAAGGUCCCGUCCUCCUUGAGGCAGAAGCGGCUGUCCCAGCGUGGAUGACUCCGGAACGUCCUGGCCCCGAACCCCCUGGAGUGCGACCCACUGCGCGGGUCUGGCGACAGAUCUGGCGGCCGUGUGUCGCAGCUGGAGGGCUUUCAGGAGAGGAUCCCUCACUUUUAAGAAGGAGGCACUGACGAGAUGGACAUCCUUCAGAUUCUGGAAGUUGUUGGGUCUGGAUGGGAAGCCUGGAACUACUGUGCCCAUCAUGCUCCCGGUCCAUGAUGAAGCCAAAAUCCAGAAGAGGGCAAAGCGAAGAGGAUCUUAGAAGUGUGGACUCCUCAUGGUGAACAGUGCCUAAUGCUUAGGUGAAGAAGUAUUUGCUGAAGGAAGAAUUUGUUGAAUCAUUUCAGUUGAGCAUUCAGUUCAGCAUUGUGUUGGGCUUAAGUUUCUCGAUGUUUUCAAUGGAAGGCAAAUUUUGUAUUCACGUUCAUUUAAAAAAUAAAGGUGAGUCACUGUAA